rnacentral:rRNA from 1 species
AUUGAACGCUGGCGGCGUGCUUAACACAUGCAAGUCGUGCGGUAACAGGCGUAGCAAUACGUGCUGACGAGCGGCGAACGGGUGCGUAAUACAUGGGAAUCUGCCUUUUAGUGGGGAAUAACCCGGCGAAAGCCGGGCUAAUGCCGCAUAAGAUCUUCGGAGUGAAAGCGGGGGAUCGUAAGACCUCGCGCUGAUAGAUGAGCCCAUGCCGGAUUAGCAGUUGGUGAGGUAACGGCUCACCAAGGCGACGAUCCGUAGCUGGUCUGAGAGGACGGCCAGCCACACUGGGACUGAGACACGGCCCAGACUCCUACGGAGGCAGCAGUGGGAAUAUUGGACAAUGGGGGAAACCCUGAUCCAGCGA